AUUGAACGCUGGCGGCAUGCUUUACACAUGCAAGUCGAACGGCAGCGCGGGGCAACCUGGCGGCGAGUGGCGAACGGGUGAGUAAUACAUCGGAACGUACCCAGAAGUGGGGGAUAACGUAGCGAAAGUUACGCUAAUACCGCAUACGUUCUACGGAAGAACGCGGGGGACAUUCGGGCCUCAUGCUUUUGGAGCGGCCGAUGUCUGAUUAGCUAGUUGGUAGGGUAAAGGCCUACCAAGGCGACGAUCAGUAGCUGGUCUGAGAGGACGACCAGCCACACUGGGACUGAGACACGGCCCAGACUCCUACGGGAGGCAGCAGUGGGGAAUUUUGGACAAUGGGCGCAAGCCUGAUCCAGCAAUGCCGCGUAAGUGAAGAAGGCCUUCGGGUUGUAAAGCUCUUUUGUCAGGGAAGAAACGGCUGGGGCUAAUAUCCUCGGCUAAUGACGGUACCUGAAGAAUAAGCACCGGCUAACUACGUGCCAGCCGCCGCCGUAAAAC
rnacentral:rRNA from 1 species